ACACAAAACAACAAAAAAAGGAGAUAAAAAUUAAGCACCCUUAGUUUCGCACACUAUUUCCUCAACAGGAGGUACUGGAAACAGAGAGGAUGAAAAAGUAUAUAAAGAGUAUAAAGAUAUCACUUUGGUUUCAAGUCAAAAUAAACAAAAAAACAUAUGUCCUUCAACACAUAAAAAAAAACAAUAAUUUCAACACCUUCAACAGGUUCGUUGCUCAACGCAAGCAAAUUAAAUAACAUAUAAAGAAAAAACAUUCAACCAAUCCGUUCUUACAAUCACGAAAAAAUCUUUUACAUGCUAAAUCGAACCAAACACCAGGAAAUGGAAAAGGUCUUUGCCUUGGUGCAAUGUGAUGAAUGGGCGUGCUUGAAUGUUCAGGUAUGUUUGCGUGUUAGUGUAUGUGUGUUUGUGAGGAGCGCUGAGCUCGGGCCGGUAAUGGCAGGGAGGAAACUGUUUUUUUUUUCUUUUUGGUUGGAGUCUUUUACACUUAGGAAGUUUAAACAGGAGUCCGUUCACCUGAGCAGCUCACUCACGCUCGUCAGCCCCCAAAGACUACGUCGCCCUGCAACCAGCAGCCGAAAGUGCAAUGCCGCACUACUGAGUCCGCCCCGGAAAAUCACUUCCGCUUCAGCGACCCAGAAUGGCUCAAACAGCAGCGAUGCGUUCAGUCUCACCAACUAGGCGGUUGUCUCAGGUAAUCCGUUUUCUCUCUCUCUCUCUCUUCCCUACUCUCUUUUUUCGUUUCGUUCCUCCUAUAACUCCUCCUUAUAUACACACGUUUCCCAUUUCCGGUUAAUUUAUUUCCCUCCUCCAUCCGGCCACACAGCAAAAGAAAACUCCUCUUUUUUCCUCGUACUGCCACAAGGUGUGACGUGCAUUCUUUUCGGCUCAUUAAAAAUUAAUCUUGCUGCCACGUUCUGGAUUAAUUGUAAAGGUUUGAUAGAGCUGGCUGUAAGACCUGCCAAGAGAGCAUUGCAAUAGUCCAGCCUGGACAGAACAAGAGCUUGAACAAGGAGUUGUGCAUUAUGUUCCGAAAGAAAGGGCCUGAUCUUCUUGAUGUUGAAUAAAGCAAAUCUGCAGGAACGGACA
ensembl:lncRNA